AUUUUAAGGUAAAGCUAACAAGAUUUGGUGGUGUAAUGAAGAAAGUGGGUGAGACCAAAAGGAUUUUGCCUAGACAACAAGGAGUUGGAGAUAAGAUGUUAAUUGGUGCAGAUUCAAGAAAGAAGGAGAAGAAUGGAACCAGAAGUGUUUCAUUUUAAAAUAGAACAGAAGAUCGAAAAGGUGUGUGAAGGAAAAUUAAAGAUAAAAGAGGUGAAGAAAUAAGCCCAGAGAGUUUACAAGACUUUACUUCCUGAAUGAAGGUCACAAUGCAAAUUACUUACUAAUGGAUGUAAUUCCUGACACUUAGCUGGAGAAAAAUUGCUUUAUUGGGCCAGAUAAACUUGCCAGGAUUGAGGCCAUCAAGCUACAGAUGGUCGUACAAAUGGAACCCCAAAUGAGCGCAACUCACAACUUCUACUGAGGACCUCUGGACCGACUCACUGGCCCUUUGACUGGCCUAGAGAGUUCCCCUCUGGAGGAUGCUACAACUGCAGGGCCCCUUCUUUGCCCCUAUCCAGCAGGAAGUAGUUAGAACAGUCAUUGCCCAGUUCCCAACAGCAUUUGGGGUGUCCUGUAUAAUGGGGGGAUUGACAGGCGAAGCCAGCUGGACUUCCUGGGUUCAGUGGGGACUUGGAGAACUUUUCUGUCUU
rnacentral:lncRNA from 1 species